rnacentral:rRNA from 1 species
UACGUAGGAUGCAAGCGUUGUCCGGAAUUAUUGGGCGUAAAGAGCGAGCAGGCGGUCUGGAAAGUUGGACGUGAAAUUUUAGGGCUUAACCCUAAAGGGUCGUCCAAAACUUCCAAACUAGAGUGCAGGAGAGGAAAGCGGAAUUCCCGGUGUAGUGGUGAAAUGCGCAGAUAUCGGGAGGAACACCGGUGGCGAAAGCGACGUGCUGGACCUCUUCUGACGCUGAGGCGCGAAAGCUAGGGGAGCAAACGGG